rnacentral:rRNA from 1 species
UACGAGGGGGGCGAGCGUUGUUCGGAUUCACUGGGCGUAAAGGGUGCGCAGGCGGCCGUGUGUGUGAGGCGUGAAAGCCCGGGGCUUAACCCCGGAAUUGCACCUCAAACUACACGGCUAGAGCAUUGGAGAGGGUAGCAGAAUUCACGGUGUAGCAGUGAAAUGCGUAGAUAUCGUGAGGAAUACCAGAGGCGAAGGCGGCUACCUGGACAAUUGCUGACGCUCAGGCACGAAAGCGUGGGGAGCAAAAGGG